GACGAACGCUGGCGGCGUGCUUAACACAUGCAAGUCGAACGGUGAAGCGCCUUCCUUUUUGGUGGGUGUGGAUGAGUGGCGAACGGGUGAGUAACACGUGAGUAACCUGCCCCCUUCUUCUGGAUAACCGCAUGAAAGUGUGGCUAAUACGGGAUAUUCUGGGUCUGUCGCAUGAUGGGUCUGGGAAAGAUAUUGUUUCGGUGGGGGAUGGGCUCGCGGCCUAUCAGCUUGUUGGCGGGGUGAUGGCCUACCAAGGCGGUGACGGGUAGCCGGCCUGAGAGGGUGGACGGUCACACUGGGACUGAGACACGGACCAGACUCCUACGGGAGGCAGCAGUGGGGAAUAUUGCACAAUGGGCGCAAGCCUGAUGCAGCGACGCCGCGUGAGGGAUGGAGGCCUUCGGGUUGUGAACCUCUUUCGCCAGUGAAGCAGGCCUGCCUCGUUUGUGGGUGGGUUGACGGUAGCUGGAUAAGAAGCGCCGGCUAACUACGUG
rnacentral:rRNA from 1 species